GUGUCAGCAGCCGCGGUAAUACGUAGGUGGCAAGCGUUAUCCGGAAUUAUUGGGCGUAAAGCGCGCGUAGGCGGUUUUUUAAGUCUGAUGUGAAAGCCCACGGCUCAACCGUGGAGGGUCAUUGGAAACUGGAAAACUUGAGUGCAGAAGAGGAAAGUGGAAUUCCAUGUGUAGCGGUGAAAUGCGCAGAGAUAUGGAGGAACACCAGUGGCGAAGGCGACUUGCUGGUCUGUAACUGACGCUGAUGUGCGAAAGCGUGGGGAUCAAACAGGAUUAGAUACCCCCGUAGUCC
rnacentral:rRNA from 1 species